rnacentral:rRNA from 1 species
AUUGAACGCUGGCGGCAGGCUUAACACAUGCAAGUCGAGCGGAGCGAAGGUGCUUGCACCUUAGCUUAGCGGCGGACGGGUGAGUAAUGCUUAGGAAUCUGCCUAUUAGUGGGGGACAACGUUUCGAAAGGAACGCUAAUACCGCAUACGUCCUACGGGAGAAAGCAGGGGAUCUUCGGACCUUGUGCUAAUAGAUGAGCCUAAGUCGGAUUAGCUAGUUGGUGGGGUAAAGGCCUACCAAGGCGACGAUCUGUAGCGGGUCUGAGAGGAUGAUCCGCCACACUGGGACUGAGACACGGCCCAGACUCCUACGGGAGGCAGCAGUGGGGAAUAUUGGACAAUGGGCGAAAGCCUGAUCCAGCCAUGCCGCGUGUGUGAAGAAGGCCUUUUGGUUGUAAAGCACUUUAAGCGAGGAGGAGGAGCUUCAGGUUAAUACCCUGGAUGCUUGGACGUUACUCGCAGAAUAAGCACCGGCUAACUCUGUGCCAGCAGCCGCCGUAA